GACGUAGGGCGCGAGCGUUGUCCGGAUUUAUUGGGCGUAAAGAGCUCGUAGGCGGCUCGUUGCGUCGGCUGUGAAAACCCGCAGCUCAACUGUGGGCUUGCAGCUGAUACGGGCGGGCUGGAGUUCGGUAGGGGAGACUGGAAUUCCUGGUGUAGCGGUGAAAUGCGCAGAUAUCAGGAGGAACACCGGUGGCGAAGGCGGGUCUCUGGGCCGAUACUGACGCUGAGGAGCGAAGGCGUGGGGAGCGAACAGG
rnacentral:rRNA from 1 species